UCCGCCGAAUAUUGUGUUUGAAUUUUUAAAAAAAUUAUACAUAUGUAUUUCAAUGUAUUUAUUCAUUUAUUUUAUUUUCUGAAAGCAAAUAAGUUUAUUCAAAACAUUGUCACAACUACGAAAAUACAUACCAGACGAUAACAAACACAUGGACGAACAACAUCGAGUUUAUUAUUAAAAUCGGCAACAAAAUAUAGGAUUGUUUAAAAGUACUGAAUCUUAAAUAUUACACGCAGGUUGUGAUGCUGGCUGUGUCAGCAUAUUGGUGAGGAGCAUCAUGGCAGAGACUGAGUUCAGAGUGAAAUGUGUUCAGUGUAAGAAUGGGGAAGUUUCUUCUAGAUGUACAGAAGCCUUCAAUGCAUUAAAGCUUAUGGCUUUAAACCCCAGUGGAUUACCGAAGAUGAGUGUUUAAAUAUAAUGCAGAAAGAUAAAAACACAGCGUAUCUGUGUGAUAAAUUUGAAGGAGAUGCUUUUGAACACCUAAAGUCACAUGGGUUGAGAAUUUUAGGCCCAAUCUGUGUAUUAACUUGUUUGGAACUUAAAGUGGAAAUUCCUCGUACUAAAGUACCAAUCCAUAAUUUAGCCAUGAAGGACACCAUCAUAAGCUGUACGAAUAUUGAUAAGGUAUUGCGGGAAUCUUUACACAUGAAAGUUUUGAUGAUGGGUGGUGAAAUCCAACGCAACUUUACUGAAAAUGUGACACAUCUUGUGGCUGGAAUGGUUGGUAGCAGUAAAUACCAGGUGGCAAGUAACCUGAAAAAAUACAUUAUGUUACCUGAUUGGGUUAAUUCUGUCUGGGAAGCAUCACAAGAAGGCUCUGUUCACUGCAAUGAUGAGAAGUUUCAAAAAUACACUUGCCCCAUGUUUAAAGGGUUAAUUAUAACAGUCUCUGGCUUAGAAUCGGCAGAGAGGAAAAAAGUGAAGCAACUGGUUGAAAUGGAAGGUGGUGUUUAUUCAGGAGAAAUGAAAGUUGAUGAAUGUACUCAUUUAAUUGUAAAUGAACCAAAAGGCCAGAAAUAUGAAUUUGCCAAGCAGUGGAAGAUCCAGAUUGUAAAACCUCAGUGGUUGUAUGAAUCAAUUGAAACUGGUUAUUGUCUUGACGAAACAAAAUACCAAUUAAAUACUGAAGGUGGCCACAAUGAAAUGAUGACCUCCACACCAACUAAAAAUACCUCAGCUGUUAACCUGAGUUCAAUUGCCAAUAUUUCUGCAAUUAAUCGUCUUAGCGACACUAUGCUCAGUGCUUGCAGUUCAAAUAUUUCCCGAGUAGACAAGUCUAAACCCACCUUUGAUAAUACAUCAAUGUCAACACCUAUGUCAUUCUUCGAUGGUUGUAAGAUUUAUCUCAGUGGAUUUCGUGGGCCAGACCAAGAACGGUUACUCAGGAUCAUCAAUGUUGGUGGAGGUACUAGAUUUAAUUCCUUAAACGAACAUGUUACACAUGUUGUGAUGGGCGAAAAAGUGCCAGCAGAUAUGGAUUAUCUAGAGAAAGCUAUUCAUAGGCCACAUAUACUAAAUGCCUCAUGGCUUUUAGAUUGUGUGAAAGAGAGCAAGUAUGUCCCAGAGAAACCCUAUUACAUCCAGAAGCUUCCCUUUGUAAAGGAAUCGCACAUGGAACCACCAAAAGCACCUGCCCCUAUCACAAAACGAAAGCCAGUUGGUGAUGUAUCACAGCUAAACACAACAAAGAUAACUGCUACCACGAGUGAAUUUGGCGAAAAUACUGAUGAAGAAUUGGCUUUGAUGAGUCAGUAUCUCCAAGGAUCAGUAAUGUCUAAGAGUGAAGCUCUACAAAGUACCUUCAGAAGUAACAUUGCGCCCAGUAUCAACAACAUGUCAAAUGGUACUUUAGAAUCAGAUCAGUCAGAAAUGACUGAUCCUGUGAAUACUGGUGGUAUUUUUUCUGGUAAAACAUUUAUUUGUUGUGGAUUAGCGGAAGAUACACCAGUUAUUGAAAAUGCUGUUAUAGAAAAUGGAGGUAUAAUUUUGAAAAACAUUCAUCAGAUCCCUGAUUAUGCACUUGUUCCACUGGGUGGCUGUACUAUAAAAUUCACUGCCAAUGAAGUGGUCACUCAUGUCUGGCUAGAAUCUUGUUUAGAAAAACAUCGUCUGGUUCCCAUUAGUGACAGUGUUCUAUUUCAACCAAUUGAGAUCAACCACCUUGCCAAACCCCUAACAAACUGCGUCAUAUCAUUCAGUGGCUUGAAUUAUAUUGAAAAGAAUUGCCUAAUGUACCUUGGAAAACUUCUUGGAGCAAACACUCAGCUAGUUUUUGUGAAAAAGCCAACCAAGGGUAUGUUAAGUAAUACUCAUCUAGUUGUCAAGGAAGCAGAGGGACAAAAAUAUGAAGCUGCUAUUAAAUGGAAGGUACAUGUUGUGAAAAUAGAAUGGAUUUUAGCAUGUGCAAAGAGUGGUAAGUUAGAGCCUGAAGAUAACUAUAUUUGUAGACCUGUUACCUGCAAAGAUGGUGUCAGUCUGGUCAAGGAGAAUAAUGUCAAGAAUAACACUUGUUUAAUUGAAAAUGACCAAAAUGAUGGGAAUGGUUCUCUUGUUACCAAGAAACGAACCUCGGUAUCUGAUGUGAGACCAAACCACCUGGCGAAUGAUGUUUCUACGUGUAAUGAUGUUCAACAACCCCAGUGUAACAGUAUUGUCAUGGAAGGUUUGGCUAGUUCAGACAAUAGCCAGAAGGAGAAUAGACAUUCCCUAUCACAUAAACAGAUGCCUGUCUCAUUACACACAUCUAGAAUUUUGGAAUUGCAAGAGAAAGAAAGCCAGCUGUCACCUAAAGAAAAUAACUUCCAACCUAAAAUUGAUACUGAAACACCUAGUAAAUUCUUGGGCCAAGGAAAAGAAUAUCAUCCCAAAUUUGAGCUUGAUGAUUUGACUUCAGUGCUGGAAUCACAAAUGAAGGGCCUGUCUACAUCUCAUUCAAGAAGAUCUAGCAUUCCAUGGGGUGAACUGUUCAGUAAACAUAUUGAAGAAGGUGUGAAAAUUAGUGCUAAUGCUCGUACUGAGGAAUUCGGUGGUUCUCAGGAAGUUGAAGCUGUCAGUGAUAAGAAUGAGGGUCCACUGAACGGUGUUGUAAUUUCUGUCGCUCGCAAAUUGAGUGCCAAACAAUCCCUCUACAAUGACAUGGCUGUAUCACUUGGUGCUGAUUACACCUGGACCUAUGACGACACAUGUACUCAUUUCAUUUUCCAGGGCAAACAGAAUGACAUCAACAGAGAGUUUCGGUUGGCUCGAGAUCAAAAGAAAAUAAUUGUUUCACCCUACUGGCUGAUCAUGUGUAAAGAACAAAAUGUGUACGUCGACGAGUCUUUGUUUCCUCACACAUUUAAUCCAAAUUUGAACUUGCAAUCUGUUAUGAACAGCUCCAAAGAAACACCACGUCGUAAGAUGCGGUCUACUAGGACUGAUGUCUGUUCCAGUACACCUGUUGCCAAAAAGACUCCUAGAGUCUUCAGACAUGAUGUAGAAGCUGUUCCUGAACCAGAAGCAGAGGAAGAAAGGAUGGAAAUAAAUGCUUUGUUACCUGUCACUACUGAUGAAGAAUUAAUGGAACUUGAAGAAACAAAGAAACCUGAUGUGGAGAAUGCUGUUGAAAUGGCUGAAAUUCAAGAAGCUUUAAAUAAAGAGCUAGAAAAUAUUAAAGCUUCUGGCUCAAGGCGGCCAAAGAAGAGAAAUAAGAAAUUAAAUUCUUCCUGUAAUGACAGUCUCAACAACAGAAGCACACCAUAUUCUACCAAAGUUAUAGCCACAGGUAAAGCGGCAGAACAGUCAUCCAAAACUUCUGGUUCGGAAUCCUCACAGAGUGUCCAGGUUACGUGGUAUGAUCCAACAGAAAGACUAGAGAUGCAGAAGGUUGCUGCUCAGCUGGAGCGUGCAUAUUGUCCCACUCAAGAUCCUCUUGAGGGUUUCACAACCACAAAACAAGACUGUGAUGAUCAACCGACUAAUGGGAAUGGAGAGUUAAAUGAUGGUGGGAAGAAAAUCUCCUCCAGAACAUCCACCCCAGAACAACCUUCCAUUGUUUUACCACUGUCUAAGAAAUUAGAAACUGUUGCUGCCCCUCAACCAAUAGAGUUUCUGUCUGAUGACGACACCCAGGAUAAUGCCACUACUGGAACAAUGGUUGAAUCACCAUGCUUUUUAUUAUCUGGAAUAUCUCCCUCUGAACGAGUGGAUUAUGGUGCUUUGAUUGAGGAACUUGGAGGAACUGUCAUAGAAGGACAGAUCUAUCAUGAAUCUUGUACACAUCUUGUUAUUGGAUGUCCAACCAGAAAUGAAAAAUUCUUGGCUUGCAUGGCAUCAGGGAAGUGGAUACUUCAUAAAUCUUACUUUGAAGAUUGCCGAAGAGCCAAGAAGUUUGUUCAGGAAGCUAAACACGAAUGGGGCAGUGUAUCCACAGAAAGCGUCUUAGCCUCAGCCAACUCUGUUAUGAAAACAUUAGCAGCUUCAGCACAAAGGUGGCGUCUCAAAAUACAGGAACUAAAGAAGCAAAGCCCAAAAUGCCAAGGUGCAUUUUAUGAUUGGUCUGUUAUUUUGUGCACUUGUAAAAAGAAAGAAAGCAACUUUGAACGCCUUUUGAAGGCCGGUGGUGCCAAGGUUUUGUCUGCUAAGCCACCAUUUACCAAACCAAUUUCAGCAACACAUGCCCUUAUAGAUAUCACCAGAGCUGAUCUCACUACUAGUGACUUAGAAACCUUAUUGCGAAACAAUGUACUUUGUCUCCGUCCUGAUUAUAUUGCUGCUUACCUUUCAAAUGAAGUACUACAGUCACCUGAUGAAUUUUGUCCUCCUGAAGUCAUUGCUUUAAGGGCCAGCUUGAAUCUUCCAGAUUCCGGAAUGAGAAAAAGAAAAACUACUAUAAUUGGUGAAGAAGCGAAACGAAACCGAAAACUGUGAUAAUGAUUAUUAUUAUUAUUGAUAAUAAUAGUAAUAUUGUUAAUGUUGUUAGGGAGUUGGCAGAAAUUGUAAAAUGAGGCCCUAAAAUUGACUUUACAGUAUUUAGGUUUGUCUCUUCAUGUUCUGGGUUCCUUCUCUCCCCAGAGAAGUCAACUUUGCCUU
rnacentral:misc_RNA from 1 species